UCCGCCCGGGUACUACGAGCACAGCUUAAAACCCAAAGGACUUGGCGGUGCCUCAGAUCCACCUAGAGGAGCCUGUUCUAGAACCGAUAAUCCUCGUUGAACCUCACCAUCUCUUGUUUUUCCCGCCUAUAUACCGCCGUCGUCAGCUUACCCUGUGAAGGCCCAACAGUAAGCAAAAUGAGCACAACUCAAAACGUCAGGUCGAGGUGUAGCGUACGAGAUGGGAUAGAAAUGGGCUACAUUUUCUACAACAGAAUACCACGAAUGGCACCCUGAAAUAUAGUGCCUGAAGGCGGAUUUAGUAGUAAAAA
rnacentral:rRNA from 1 species